AGCGAACGCUGGCGGCAGGCUUAACACAUGCAAGUCGAACGGGCAUAGCAAUAUGUCAGUGGCAGACGGGUGAGUAACGCGUGGGAACGUACCUUUUGGUUCGGAACAACACAGGGAAACUUGUGCUAAUACCGGAUAAGCCCUUACGGGGAAAGAUUUAUCGCCGAAAGAUCGGCCCGCGUCUGAUUAGCUAGUUGGUAGGGUAAUGGCCUACCAAGGCGACGAUCAGUAGCUGGUCUGAGAGGAUGAUCAGCCACAUUGGGACUGAGACACGGCCCAAACUCCUACGGGAGGCAGCAGUGGGGAAUAUUGGACAAUGGGCGAAAGCCUGAUCCAGCCAUGCCGCGUGAGUGAUGAAGGCCCUAGGGUUGUAAAGCUCUUUUGUGCGGGAAGAUAAUGACGGUACCGCAAGAAUAAGCCCCGGCUAACUGCGU
rnacentral:rRNA from 1 species